UACGGGGGGGGCAAGCGUUGUUCGGAAUUACUGGGCGUAAAGGGCUCGUAGGCGGCCAACUAAGUCGGAUGUGAAAUCCCCAGGCUCAACUUGGGAACUGCAUCCGAUACUGGAUGGCUUGAAUUCGGGAGAGGGAUGCAGAAUUCCAGGUGUAGCGGUGAAAUGCGUAGAUAUCUGGAGGAACACCGGUGGCGAAGGCGGUUCUCUGGGAAUGACCUGACGCUGAGGAGCGAAAGUGUGGGGAGCGAACAGG
rnacentral:rRNA from 1 species